rnacentral:rRNA from 1 species
UACGUAGGGUGCAAGCGUUAAUCGGAAUUACUGGGCGUAAAGCGUGCGCAGGCGGUCUUGCAAGACAGAUGUGAAAUCCCCGGGCUUAACCUGGGAACUGCAUUUGUGACUGCAAGGCUGGAGUGCGGCAGAGGGGGAUGGAAUUCCGCGUGUAGCAGUGAAAUGCGUAGAUAUGCGGAGGAACACCGAUGGCGAAGGCAAUCCCCUGGGCCUGCACUGACGCUCAUGCACGAAAGCGUGGGGAGCAAACAGG